AUAACAGCUGAAUCAGCAAACCACGUGGUCACCCAGCACCCAUGGAACAUAGAGCAAGUGGCUAACUAUUGUCUCAGUGUUAGGUGAAGGCUUUGUCCAGUCCUAUAAUUUGUAGACCACAGUGACAUAGCCAGGACUAUGGAGAGAGACCAUUGCUGAGGAGGUGGGAAUGGCAAGUUCCUGGCCAAUCAGAUGAUCCUACAUGACGAAGCUGCUCGUAAAGAUGCAAGUCUGAUGACAAACUCAGGAUGAUGAACGUCAAGUUCAACCUGAAUGCCCAAGAGUUCAAACCUCCGAGAGCAAGCUUCUCUCCAGUGGUCACUGCCUCCUCCACACCUCUCCGAGACAAGGCGACUAUAGAGUCCUCAGCCUCUACCCUACAGGAGCAAAAUAAUUCCGUUUUUGCUUGUUUCACCAAACUGGAGGUAAAAGUUUACGUAAGGACUUUGAGAAGGAGCGGGAAAAUGAGUACAAAGAGAAGUACCUCUCGCUAUUAGGAUGAGUGCUGACUCGGCUCUGUUUAAGUCCAAGAGCAAGAAAUCAAAGUGGCUCGACUAGUGAGUUGUGUCACG